UUGAACGCUGGCGGCAGGCCUAACACAUGCAAGUCGAGCGGUAGCACAGAGAGCUUGCUCUCGGGUGACGAGCGGCGGACGGGUGAGUAAUGUCUGGGAAACUGCCUGAUGGAGGGGGAUAACUACUGGAAACGGUAGCUAAUACCGCAUAAUGUCGCAAGACCAAAGUGGGGGACCUUCGGGCCUCAUGCCAUCAGAUGUGCCCAGAUGGGAUUAGCUAGUAGGUGGGGUAACGGCUCACCUAGGCGACGAUCCCUAGCUGGUCUGAGAGGAUGACCAGCCACACUGGAACUGAGACACGGUCCAGACUCCUACGGGAGGCAGCAGUGGGGAAUAUUGCACAAUGGGCGCAAGCCUGAUGCAGCCAUGCCGCGUGUGUGAAGAAGGCCUUCGGGUUGUAAAGCACUUUCAGCGGGGAGGAAGGCGUUAAGGUUAAUAACCUUGGCGAUUGACGUUACCCGCAGAAGAAGCACCGGCUAACUCCGUGCCAGCAGCCGCGGUAAUACGGAGGGUGCAAGCGUUAAUCGGAAUUACUGGGCGUAAAGCGCACGCAGGCGGUCUGUCAAGUCGGAUGUGAAAUCCCCGGGCUCAACCUGGGAACUGCAUUCGAAACUGGCAGGCUAGAGUCUUGUAGAGGGGGGUAGAAUUCCAGGUGUAGCGGUGAAAUGCGUAGAUAUUAGGAGGAACACCAGUGGCGAAGGCGGCUUACUGGACGGCAACUGACGUUGAGGCUCGAAAGCGUGGGGAGCAAACAGGAUUAGAUACCCUGGUAGUCCACGCCGUAAACGAUGUCGAUUUGGAGGUUGUGCCCUUGAGGCGUGGCUUCCGGAGCUAACGCGUUAAAUCGACCGCCUGGGGAGUACGGCCGCAAGGUUAAAACUCAAAUGAAUUGACGGGGGCCCGCACAAGCGGUGGAGCAUGUGGUUUAAUUCGAUGCAACGCGAAGAACCUUACCUGGUCUUGACAUCCACAGAACUUUCCAGAGAUGGAUUGGUGCCUUCGGGAACUGUGAGACAGGUGCUGCAUGGCUGUCGUCAGCUCGUGUUGUGAAAUGUUGGGUUAAGUCCCGCAACGAGCGCAACCCUUAUCCUUUGUUGCCAGCGGUCCGGCCGGGAACUCAAAGGAGACUGCCAGUGAUAAACUGGAGGAAGGUGGGGAUGACGUCAAGUCAUCAUGGCCCUUACGACCAGGGCUACACACGUGCUACAAUGGCAUAUACAAAGAGAAGCGACCUCGCGAGAGCAAGCGGACCUCAUAAAGUAUGUCGUAGUCCGGAUUGGAGUCUGCAACUCGACUCCAUGAAGUCGGAAUCGCUAGUAAUCGUAGAUCAGAAUGCUACGGUGAAUACGUUCCCGGGCCUUGUACACACCGCCCGUCACACCAUGGGAGUGGGUUGCAAAAGAAGUAGGUAGCUUAACCUUCGGGAGGGCGCUUACCACUUUGUGAUUCAUGACUGGGGUG
rnacentral:rRNA from 1 species